rnacentral:tRNA from 1 species
GCCCUUUUAACUCAAUGGUAGAGUAACGCCGUGGUAAGGCGUAAGUAAUCGGUUCAAAUCCGAUAAGGGGCU